CAAUGGGCGAAAGCCUGAUGGAGCAACGCCGCGUGAAGGAUGAAGGCCCUCGGGUUGUAAACUUCUUUUAUGAGUGAAGAAUAUGACGGUAACUUAUGAAUAAUCACCGGCUAACUACAUGCCAGCACCCGCGG
rnacentral:rRNA from 1 species